rnacentral:rRNA from 1 species
UUAAGCGACUAAGCGUACACGGUGGAUGCCCUGGCAGUCAGAGGCGAUGAAGGACGUGCUAAUCUGCGAAAAGCGUCGGUAAGGUGAUAUGAACCGUUAUAACCGGCGAUGUCCGAAUGGGGAAACCCAGUGCAAUUCGUUGCACUAUCGUUAACUGAAUACAUAGGUUAACGAGGCGAACCGGGGGAACUGAAACAUCUAAGUACCCCGAGGAAAAGAAAUCAACCGAGAUUCCCCCAGUAGCGGCGAGCGAACGGGGAGCAGCCCAGAGUCUGAAUCAGCUUGUGUGUUAGUGGAACGGUCUGGAAAGUCCGACGGUACAGGGUGAUAGUCCCGUACACCAAAAUGCACAGGUUGUGAACUCGAAGAGUAGGGCGGGACACGUGGUAUCCUGUCUGAAUAUGGGGGGACCAUCCUCCAAGGCUAAAUACUCCUGACUGACCGAUAGUGAACCAGUACCGUGAGGGAAAGGCGAAAAGAACCCCGGCGAGGGGAGUGAAAAAGAACCUGAAACCGUGUACGUACAAGCAGUGGGAGCACCUUCGGGUGUGACUGCGUACCUUUUGUAUAAUGGGUCAGCGACUUAUAUUCUGUAGCAAGGUUAACCGUAUAGGGGAGCCGCAGGGAAACCGAGUCUUAACUGGGCGUUAAGUUGCAGGGUAUAGACCCGAAACCCGGUGAUCUAGCCAUGGGCAGGUUGAAGGUUGGGUAACACUAACUGGAGGACCGAACCGACUAAUGUUGAAAAAUUAGCGGAUGACUUGUGGCUGGGGGUGAAAGGCCAAUCAAACCGGGAGAUAGCUGGUUCUCCCCGAAAGCUAUUUAGGUAGCGCCUCGUGAAUUCAUCUUCGGGGGUAGAGCACUGUUUCGGCUAGGGGGUCAUCCCGACUUACCAACCCGAUGCAAACUACGAAUACCGAAGAAUGUUAUCACGGGAGACACACGGCGGGUGCUAACGUCCGUCGUGAAGAGGGAAACAACCCAGACCGCCAGCUAAGGUCCCAAAGUCAUGGUUAAGUGGGAAACGAUGUGGGAAGGCACAGACAGCCAGGAUGUUGGCUUAGAAGCAGCCAUCAUUUAAAGAAAGCGUAAUAGCUCACUGGUCGAGUCGGCCUGCGCGGAAGAUGUAACGGGGCUAAACCAUGCACCGAAGCUGCGGCAGCGACACUAUGUGUUGUUGGGUAGGGGAGCGUUCUGUAAGCCUGUGAAGGUGACCUGUGAGGGUUGCUGGAGGUAUCAGAAGUGCGAAUGCUGACAUAAGUAACGAUAAAGCGGGUGAAAAGCCCGCUCGCCGGAAGACCAAGGGUUCCUGUCCAACGUUAAUCGGGGCAGGGUGAGUCGACCCCUAAGGCGAGGCCGAAAGGCGUAGUCGAUGGGAAACAGGUUAAUAUUCCUGUACUUGGUGUUACUGCGAAGGGGGGACGGAGAAGGCUAUGUUAGCCGGGCGACGGUUGUCCCGGUUUAAGCAUGUAGGCUGGUUAUCCAGGCAAAUCCGGAUAAUCAAGGCUGAGGUGUGAUGACGAGGCACUACGGUGCUGAAGUAACAAAUGCCCUGCUUCCAGGAAAAGCCUCUAAGCAUCAGGUAACAUCAAAUCGUACCCCAAACCGACACAGGUGGUCAGGUAGAGAAUACCAAGGCGCUUGAGAGAACUCGGGUGAAGGAACUAGGCAAAAUGGUGCCGUAACUUCGGGAGAAGGCACGCUGGUGUGUAGGUGAAGCCCCUGCGGGUGGAGCUGAGACCAGUCGAAGAUACCAGCUGGCUGCAACUGUUUAUUAAAAACACAGCACUGUGCAAACACGAAAGUGGACGUAUACGGUGUGACGCCUGCCCGGUGCCGGAAGGUUAAUUGAUGGGGUUAUCCGUAAGGAGAAGCUCUUGAUCGAAGCCCCGGUAAACGGCGGCCGUAACUAUAACGGUCCUAAGGUAGCGAAAUUCCUUGUCGGGUAAGUUCCGACCUGCACGAAUGGCGUAAUGAUGGCCAGGCUGUCUCCACCCGAGACUCAGUGAAAUUGAACUCGCUGUGAAGAUGCAGUGUACCCGCGGCAAGACGGAAAGACCCCGUGAACCUUUACUAUAGCUUGACACUGAACAUUGAGCCUUGAUGUGUAGGAUAGGUGGGAGGCUUUGAAGCGUGGACGCCAGUCUGCGUGGAGCCAACCUUGAAAUACCACCCUUUAAUGUUUGAUGUUCUAACGUUGGCCCCUGACCGGGGUUGCGGACAGUGUCUGGUGGGUAGUUUGACUGGGGCGGUCUCCUCCCAAAGCGUAACGGAGGAGCACGAAGGUUAGCUAAUCCUGGUCGGACAUCAGGAGGUUAGUGCAAUGGCAUAAGCUAGCUUGACUGCGAGCGUGACGGCGCGAGCAGGUGCGAAAGCAGGUCAUAGUGAUCCGGUGGUUCUGAAUGGAAGGGCCAUCGCUCAACGGAUAAAAGGUACUCCGGGGAUAACAGGCUGAUACCGCCCAAGAGUUCAUAUCGACGGCGGUGUUUGGCACCUCGAUGUCGGCUCAUCACAUCCUGGGGCUGAAGUAGGUCCCAAGGGUAUGGCUGUUCGCCAUUUAAAGUGGUACGCGAGCUGGGUUUAGAACGUCGUGAGACAGUUCGGUCCCUAUCUGCCGUGGGCGCUGGAGAAUUGAGGGGGGCUGCUCCUAGUACGAGAGGACCGGAGUGGACGCAUCACUGGUGUUCGGGUUGUCAUGCCAAUGGCACUGCCCGGUAGCUAAAUGCGGAAGAGAUAAGUGCUGAAAGCAUCUAAGCACGAAACUUGCCCCGAGAUGAGUUCUCCCUGAGACUUUAAGUCUCCUGAAGGAACGUUAAAGACGAUGACGUUGAUAGGCCGGGUGUGUAAGCGCAGCGAUGCGUUGAGCUAACCGGUACUAAUGAACCGUGAGGCUUAACCUU